rnacentral:rRNA from 1 species
UACGUAGGGUGCAAGCGUUGUCCGGAAUUUAUUGGGCGUAAAGAGCUCGUAGGCGGUUUGUCGCGUCUGCUGUGAAAACCCGAGGCUCAACCUCGGGCCUGCAGUGGGUACGGGCAGACUAGAGUGAUGUAGGGGAGACUGGAAUUCCUGGUGUAGCGGUGAAAUGCGCAGAUAUCAGGAGGAACACCGAUGGCGAAGGCAGGUCUCUGGGCAUUAACUGACGCUGGAGGAGCGAAAGCAUGGGGAGCGAACAGG